AAUGGCAGGUCAGCAUACUGCCGUGAAUACGUUCCCGGGCCUUGUACACACCGCCCGUCACACCAUGAGAGUUGGAAAUACCCGAAGCCUGUGAGCUAACUGUAAAGAGGCAGCAGUCGAAGGUAGAGCCAAUGAUUGGGGUGAAGUCGUAACAAGGUAAC
rnacentral:rRNA from 1 species